AGGGUGAAGGGGUUGCAAUAAACUGGUGGCUGCGACUGUUUAAUAAAAACACAGCACUCUGCAAACACGAAAGUGGACGUAUAGGGUGUGACGCCUGCCCGGUGCCGGAAGAUUAAAUGAUGGGGUGCAAGCUCUUGAUUGAAGUCCCGGUAAACGGCGGCCGUAACUAUAACGGUCCUAAGGUAGCGAAAUUCCUUGUCGGGUAAGUUCCGACCUGCACGAAUGGCGUAACGAUGGCCACACUGUCUCCUCCCGAGACUCAGCGAAGUUGAAGUGUUUGUGAUGAUGCAAUCUACCCGCGGCUAGACGGAAAGACCCCAUGAACCUUUACUGUAGCUUUGCAUUGGACUUUGAACCGAUCUGUGUAGGAUAGGUGGGAGGCUAUGAAACCGGAACGCUAGUUUCGGUGGAGCCGUCCUUGAAAUACCACCCUGGUUUGUUUGAGGUUCUAACCUUGGCCCGUGAUCCGGGUCGGGGACAGUGCAUGGUAGGCAGUUUGACUGGGGCGGUCUCCUCCCAAAGCGUAACGGAGGAGUACGAAGGUACGCUAGGUACGGUCGGAAAUCGUGCUGAUAGUGCAAUGGCAUAAGCGUGCUUAACUGCGAGACCGACAAGUCGAGCAGGUGCGAAAGCAGGUCAUAGUGAUCCGGUGGUUCUGUAUGGAAGGGCCAUCGCUCAACGGAUAAAAGGUACUCUGGGGAUAACAGGCUGAUACCGCCCAAGAGUUCAUAUCGACGGCGGUGUUUGGCACCUCGAUGUCGGCUCAUCUCAUCCUGGGGCUGUAGCCGGUCCCAAGGGUAUGGCUGUUCGCCAUUUAAAGAGGUACGUGAGCUGGGUUUAAAACGUCGUGAGACAGUUUGGUCCCUAUCUGCCGUGGGCGUUGGAUAUUUGAAGGGGGCUGCUCCUAGUACGAGAGGACCGGAGUGGACGAACCUCUGGUGUACCGGUUGUCACGCCAGUGGCAUCGCCGGGUAGCUAUGUUCGGAAGAGAUAACCGCUGAAAGCAUCUAAGCGGGAAACUCGCCUUAAGAUGAGAUAUCCCUGGGGACUGGAUCCCCUUGAAGGGUCGUUCGAGACCAGGACGUUGAUAGGUCAGGUGUGUAAGCGCAGUAAUGCGUUCAGCUAACUGAUACUAAUUGCCCGUAAGGCUUGAUCCUAUAACA
rnacentral:rRNA from 1 species